rnacentral:rRNA from 1 species
GACGGAGGGUGCAAGCGUUGUUCGGAUUGACUGGGCGUAAAGGGUGCGUAGGCGGCGGGGCAAGUCUGAUGUGAAAUCCCGGGGCUCAACCCCGGAACUGCAUUGGAUACUGCCUUGCUUGAGUACUGGAGAGGAGCUUGGAAUUCUCGGUGUAGCAGUGAAAUGCGUAGAUUUCGAGAAGAACGCUCGCAGCGAAAGCGAAGCUCUGGUCAGGUUCUGACGCUGAGGCACGAAGGCUAGGGGAGCAAACGGG